rnacentral:rRNA from 1 species
UGCGUAGGCUGUUCCGUAUGUUGGAUGUGAAAUCCCGUCGCUCAACGGCGGAACUGCAUUCAAAACUGCGGGACUAGAGUACAGGAAGGGAGAGCGGAAUUCUUGGUGUAGCGGUGAAAUGCGUUGAUAUCAAGAAGAACACCGGUGGCGAAGGCGGCUCUCUGGAAUGUUACUGACGCUGAGGCACGAAAGCUGGGGGAGCAAACAGGAUUAGAUACCCUGGUAGUCC